rnacentral:tRNA from 1 species
GGAUUGUGGCUCAGAGGUAGAGCGCUUGCCUAGCAUGCACGAGGCCCUGGGUUCCACCCUCAGCACCA